GACGUAGGGCGCGAGCGUUGUCCGGAUUUAUUGGGCGUAAAGAGCGUGUAAGCGGCCAUACAGGUCAGCUGUGAAAACUCGAGGCUCAACCUCGAGACGUCGGUUGAAACCGUAUGGCUAGAGUCCGGAAGAGGAGAGUGGAAUUCCCGGUGUAGCGGUGAAAUGCGUAGAUAUCUGGAGGAACACCGGUGGCGAAGGCGGCAUCCUGGACCACGACUGACGCUGAGCGAGCGAAAGCCAGGGGAGCAAACGGG
rnacentral:rRNA from 1 species